rnacentral:hammerhead_ribozyme from 1 species
UGCCGAAACCGUGGCCCUUCCCACCACGGUCUGUUGGAGAUGGCUUCUCCAGCACUGAUGAGGCAAGCCGCAA